rnacentral:rRNA from 1 species
GAUGAACGCUAGCGGCAGGCCUAAUACAUGCAAGACGAACGGUAAGUUGAGUAGCAAUACCUAGUCAAGAGUGUCGUACGGGUGCGUAACACGUAUGCAACCUACCCUAUACAGGAGGAUAGCCUAGGGAAACCUGGAUUAACCCUUCAUAGUAUUAUUGGAUGGCAUCAUUUGAUAAUUAAAACUGAGGUGGUAUAGGAUGGGCAUGCGUCUGAUUAGUUAGUUGGCGGGGUAAUGGCCCACCAAGACGAUGAUCAGUAGGGGUUCUGAGAGGAAGAUCCCCCACACUGGCACUGAGAUACGGGCCAGACUCCUACGGGAGGCAGCAGUAGGGAAUAUUGGUCAAUGGAUGCAAGUCUGAACCAGCCAUGCCGCGUGCAGGAAGAAGGCCUUCUGGGUUGUAAACUGCUUUUGCCAGGGGAUAAAAUUUCCAUGCGUGGAAAACUGAAGGUACCUGGUGAAUAAGCCACGGCUAACUACGUGCCAGCAGCCGCGGUAAUC